rnacentral:rRNA from 1 species
GACGAACGCUGGCGGCGUGCUUAACACAUGCCAGUCGAACGGAAAGGCCCUGCUUUUGUGGGGUGCUCGAGUGGCGAACGGGUGAGUAACACGUGAGUAACCUGCCCUUGACUUUGGGAUAACUUCAGGAAACUGGGGCUAAUACCGGAUAGGAGCUCCUGCUGCAUGGUGGGGGUUGGAAAGUUUCGGCGGUUGGGGACGGACUCGCGGCUUAUCAGCUUGUUGGUGGGGUAGUGGCUUACCAAGGCUUUGACGGGUAGCCGGCCUGAGAGGGUGACCGGCCACAUUGGGACUGAGAUACGGCCCAGACUCAUACGGGAGGAAGCAGUGGAGAAUAUUGCACAAUGGGCGGAAGCCUGAUGCAGCAACGCCGCGUGCGGGAUGACGGCCUUCGGGUUGUAACCCGCUUUCGCCUGUGACGAAGCGUGAGUGACGGUAAUGGGUAAAGAAGCACCGGCUAACUACGUG